GACGAACGCUGGUGGCGUGCUUAACACAUGCAAGUCGAACGGGAUUUAGUAAACAGAAGCCUCGGUGGAAGAUUACUAAUGAGAGUGGCGAACGGGUGAGUAACGCGUUAGCAACCUGCCUAUGACAGUGGGAUAGCCUCGGGAAACCGGGAUUAAUACCGCAUAAAAUCGUAGAAACACAUGUUUUAACGGUCAAAGAUUUAUCGGUCAUAGAUGGGCUCGCGUCUGAUUAGCUAGUUGGUGAGGUAACAGCCCACCAAGGCGACGAUCAGUAGACGGUCUGAGAGGCUGGGCGGACACAUUGGAACUGAGACACAGACCAGACUCCUACGCGAGGCAGCAGUGGGGAAUAUUGCACAAUGGGGGAAAUCCUGAUGCAGCGACGCCGCGUAAACGAAGAAGGUAUUCGUAUCGUAAAGUUCUGUCCUAUGGGAAGAUAAUGACGGUACCAUAGAAGAAAGCUCCGGCUAAAUACGUG
rnacentral:rRNA from 1 species